rnacentral:rRNA from 2 species
ACGCUGGCUGUGUGCCUAAUACAUGCAUGUCGAGCGGAGUUCUUUUAGAACUUAGCGGCGAAUGGGUGAGUAACACGUACUUAACGUACCCUUUAGAUUGGAAUAACACUGAGAAAUUAGUGCUAAUGCCGAAUACUUAUUUUUUACACAUGUAAUUAAUAUAAAAGGAGCGUUUGCUUCACUAGAGGAUCGGGGUGCGCAACAUUAGCUAGUUGGUAGGGUAAAGGCCUACCAAGGCGAUGAUGUUUAGCGGGGUUGAGAGACUGAACCGCCACACUGGGACUGAGAUACGGCCCAGACUCCUACGGGAGGCAGCAGUAGGGAAUUUUCCACAAUGAGCGAAAGCUUGAUGGAGCGACACAGCGUGCAGGAAGACGGCCUUCGGGUUGUAAACUGCUGUUACAAGGGAAGAAAAAAUAGCAUAGGAAAUGAUGUUAUAUUGACGGUACCUUGUCAGAAAGCAACGGCUAACUAUGUGCCAGCAGCCGCGGUAAUACAUAGGUUGCAAGCGUUAUCCGGAAUUAUUGGGCGUAAAGCGUCUGUAGGUUGUUUGUUAAGUCUGGUGUUAAAACUUGGGGCUCAACCCCAAAUUGCAUUGGAUACUGACAAACUAGAGUUAUUUAGAGGUUAAUGGAAUUCCUUGUGAAGCGGUGAAAUGCGUAGAUAUAAGGAAGAACACCAACAUGGCGAAGGCAAUUAACUGGGAAUACACUGACACUGAGAGACGAAAGCGUGGGGAGCAAACAGGAUUAGAUACCCUGGUAGUCCACGCUGUAAACGAUGAUGAUUAGUUGAUGGACACCAUUGACGCAGCUAACGCAUUAAAUCAUCCGCCUGAGUAGUAUGCUCGCAAGAGUGAAACUUAAAGGAAUUGACGGGGAUCCGCACAAGCGGUGGAGCAUGUGGUUUAAUUUGAAGAUACGCGUAGAACCUUACCCACUCUUGACAUCUUCUGCAAAGCUAUAGAGAUAUAGUGGAGGUUAACAGAAUGACAGAUGGUGCAUGGUUGUCGUCAGCUCGUGUCGUGAGAUGUUCGGUUAAGUCCUGCAACGAGCGCAACCCUUGUCCUUAGUUAGAUGAUCUAAGGAGACUGCCUAGGUAACUGGGAGGAAGGUGGGGACGACGUCAAAUCAUCAUGCCUCUUACGAGUGGGGCAACACACGUGCUACAAUGGACAGUACAAAGAGAYGCAAUACGGUGACGUUGAGCAAAUCUCAAAAAACUGUUCUCAGUUCGGAUUGAAGUCUGCAACUCGACUUCAUGAAGUCGGAAUCGCUAGUAAUCGUAGAUCAGCUACGCUACGGUGAAUACGUUCUCGGGUCUUGUACACACCGCCCGUCAAACCACGGGAGCUGGUAAUGCCCGAAGUCGGUUUUGUUAACUACGGAAACAGCCGCCUAAGGCAGGACUGGUGACUGGGGUUAAGUCGUAACAAGGUAUCCCUACGAGAACGUGGGGAUGGAUUACCUCCUUUCUACGGAGUACAUAACAGUUAAAAAUUUAACUGAYACUUUAAUAGACUAUUAAUUUUAAAUAAUAAUUUUAAUAACCUGAAAGUCAUGACAUUGUAAUAGUCCAAUGGUAUAUCUAGUUUUGAGAGAACUUUCUCUCAUAUGUUCUUUGAAAACUGAAUAGUAAAGAUAAAUUAAUAUAACAACGACAUCAAAAAAA